rnacentral:lncRNA from 1 species
UUCUUCCCAGAUACCCCCACCCCACAAACAGCCCAAGGACACAGAGUAUUACCUUCCACUUUCGUUUCCUGGGAGAAUCUACUGAUGCUGGGAAACUUAAGAUGAUCGUUACAGAACUACCCACCACAACUGGAUCAAGCAGCGUGCUCGGGAGGAGAUGGACACCUGGUCUCAUCAGGAGUGGAUUGGGAGGAAAGACUAGACAUGGGGCCAGGUGAUCGAAAGAUAUCGGAGCCUACCCGGGAAGAACGAGAGGCAGCCCCAAAAAUUUUUUUUGGGGGGGGCACAUGGGUAGUUCGGCUGGACCAGGGGUGAGGCCUGAGUCAACUACCCAUGCUUUUCAGGUGCCUGCCUCUCGCACUUUCUCUCCAGUACGUCCUGUUCCUGCUCACCGCACUAGCCUGAAGGUGUGUGUUACUAGUCUGGCGUCUCCAAAGCCAGUCCCACGCAUCAGGCCUAAAGUGCGCAUUCCCCGUCCAGAGCUUCCGGCGACAGUUCCCCGUCCUGAGCUUCCGGCGACAGUUCCCCGUCCUGAGCUUCCGGCGACAGUUCCCCGUCCUGAGCUUCCGGCGACAGUUCCCCGUCCUGAGCUUCCGGCGACAGUUUACAGUCCGGAGCCGACAGAGACGG